AGAGUUUGAUCAUGGCUCAGAUUGAACGCUGGCGGCAGGCCUAACACAUGCAAGUCGAACGGUAACAGGAAGCAGCUUGCUGCUUCGCUGACGAGUGGCGGACGGGUGAGUAAUGUCUGGGAAACUGCCUGAUGGAGGGGGAUAACUACUGGAAACGGUGGCUAAUACCGCAUAACGUCGCAAGACCAAAGAGGGGGACCUUCGGGCCUCUUGCCAUCAGAUGUGCCCAGAUGGGAUUAGCUAGUUGGUGAGGUAACGGCUCACCAAGGCGACGAUCCCUAGCUGGUCUGAGAGGAUGACCAGCCACACUGGAACUGAGACACGGUCCAGACUCCUACGGGAGGCAGCAGUGGGGAAUAUUGCMCAAUGGGCGCAAGCCUGAUGCAGCCAUGCCGCGUGUAUGAAGAAGGCCUUCGGGUUGUAAAGUACUUUCAGCGGGGAGGAAGGUGUUGCGGUUAAUAACCGCAGCAAUUGACGUUACCCGCAGAAGAAGCACCGGCUAACUCCGUGCCAGCAGCCGCGGUAAUACGGAGGGUGCAAGCGUUAAUCGGAAUUACUGGGCGUAAAGCGCACGCAGGCGGUCUGUCAAGUCGGAUGUGAAAUCCCCGGGCUCAACCUGGGAACUGCAUUCGAAACUGGCAGGCUUGAGUCUUGUAGAGGGGGGUAGAAUUCCAGGUGKAGCGGUGAAAUGCGUAGAGAUCUGGAGGAAUACCGGUGGCGAAGGCGGCCCCCUGGACAAAGACUGACGCUCAGGUGCGAAAGCGUGGGGAGCAAACAGGAUUAGAUACCCUGGUAGUCCACGCCGUAAACGAUGUCUACUUGGAGGUUGUGCCCUUGAGGCGUGGCUUCCGGAGCUAACGCGUUAAGUAGACCGCCUGGGGAGUACGGCCGCAAGGUUAAAACUCAAAUGAAUUGACGGGGGCCCGCACAAGCGGUGGAGCAUGUGGUUUAAUUCGAUGCAACGCGAAGAACCUUACCUGGUCUUGACAUCCACAGAACUUUCCAGAGAUGGAUUGGUGCCUUCGGGAACUGUGAGACAGGUGCUGCAUGGCUGUCGUCAGCUCGUGUUGUGAAAUGUUGGGUUAAGUCCCGCAACGAGCGCAACCCUUAUCCUUUGUUGCCAGCGGUCCGGCCGGGAACUCAAAGGAGACUGCCAGUGAUAAACUGGAGGAAGGUKGGGAUGACGUCAAGUCAUCAUGGCCCUUACGACCAGGGCUACACACGUGCUACAAUGGCGCAUACAAAGAGAAGCGACCUCGCGAGAGCAAGCGGACCUCAUAAAGUGCGUCGUAGUCCGGAUUGGAGUCUGCAACUCGACUCCAUGAAGUCGGAAUCGCUAGUAAUCGUGGAUCAGAAUGCCACGGUGAAUACGUUCCCGGGCCUUGUACACACCGCCCGUCACACCAUGGGAGUGGGUUGCAAAAGAAGUAGGUAGCUUAACCUUCGGGAGGGCGCUUACCACUUUGUGAUUCAUGACUGGGGUGAAGUCGUAACAAGGUAACCGUAGGGGAACCUGCGGUUG
rnacentral:rRNA from 1 species